UUCAUUUAUUCAUCAAAGACUCCGACGUACAGAGACAGGGUUGAAUGGUCCACCGGGGGCGGCGGAGGCCGCUCUGCCCCCGAGGCAAAAGUGGUUUGGUCAACAAAGGGUUGGGGACGGGGGCCCGGAGGCCCGCCAUCUCUGGUAAUGAUCCCUCCGCAGGUUCACCUACGGAGA
rnacentral:misc_RNA from 1 species